rnacentral:rRNA from 1 species
UACGUAGGGCGCAAGCGUUGUUCGGAAUUAUUGGGCGUAAAGAGCUCGUAGGCGGUUUGUCGCGUCUGCUGUGAAAACCUAAGGCUCAACCUUGGGCUUGCAGUGGGUACGGGCAGACUAGAGUGCGGUAGGGGUGACUGGAAUUCCUGGUGUAGCGGUGGAAUGCGCAGAUAUCAGGAGGAACACCGAUGGCGAAGGCAGGUCACUGGGCCGCAACUGACGCUGGAGGAGCGAAAGCAUGGGGAGCGAACAGG